rnacentral:pre_miRNA from 1 species
GCCGGGAUCACAGGGUUGUUGUAUGUCUUUCGGGCUAUGUGGCCAUGUUCCAGAAGUAUUCUCUCCCAAUACUUCUGGAACAUGGCCACACAGCCCGAAAGACAUACAACAACCCUGCAA